rnacentral:rRNA from 1 species
AGCGAACGCUGGCGGCAUGCUUAACACAUGCAAGUCGCGCGGGUGGUUUCGGCCAUCAGCGGCGGACGGGUGAGUAUCGCGUAGGAAUGUAUCCCGAGGUGGGGGACAACCCUGGGAAACUGGGGCUAAUACCGCAUGGGGCCUGUGGGUCAAAGCCUUAGGGCGCCUUGGGAGCAGCCUGCGUCCGAUUAGGUAGUUGGUGGGGUAAAGGCCUACCAAGCCUGCGAUCGGUAGCUGGUCUGAGAGGACGAUCAGCCACACUGGGACUGAGACACGGCCCAGACUCCUGCGGGAGGCAGCAGUGGGGAAUAUUGGACAAUGGGCGCAAGCCUGAUCCAGCAAUGCCGCGUGGGUGAAGAAGGUCUUCGGAUUGUAAAGCCCGUUCGGCGGGGACGAUGAUGACGGUACCCUCAGAAGAAGCCCCGGCUAACUUCGUG